rnacentral:lncRNA from 1 species
AAGUGUGUACUUCAAAUGGUGAGUAAUGUCUCUAUUUAUAGUGUUGAAAUAUCACUCCCAAAGAUAACCAAAUUAAUAGAUACAUAUUUGUCCAUAAUGGAUCAUAUCACCUUGAAAAUAUACAUACAUGAAUACAAGUAAAUCAUGAAUAUCCAAUGGACAAUCCACUUAAUUAGUUCAAUGGAUUUGUAACACUUCCCCUUGGAUGUCCAUAGAUAAUGUGUCUCGUUAAAACCUUAUUUAAAAAAAACCUGUGGAAAAAAAUUUCUAGUUAAGGAAAAAGAGUACACAUCUUUUGAUACGCACUAUUUGUUGCCUCAUUAAAAACCUUGUGAGAAAACCCAGUGGGAAAAAACCUCGGUCAAGGAAAAAAAAGUGCAACACGUAUUAUACUCCCCUUGAUUAAAACAUCACUUAAUUUCUUGUGAUGAUGUCUCCAAUCUUCGUACAUUGUGGUUGGUAUAUUAUUUUUCAAAGAAAAACCACAACCCUUAUAGGCAAGAACAAUUUCUUUCUUUUGCCCUUUCGGUAGUUCACAAUAAACAUACCAUAGUGACGUAUAAAACGUACAAUACAAUUAGCCAUUUCUGCCAAAUACAAUUUAUUUCCUCUCAAAUCUCCCGUAGAGAUGAGAAGUGACAUAUAUCAUUUUUUCUCAAACCUUCCAUAAGGUGAGUUGUGGCAUAUAUCCAACCUAUAAUGAUUUUAUCACAUCUUGAUCCAUCUCUUAUAAAAUGGUCCAGCAUUCACGAUACUCAUCACAAGUCACAUUCUCUUGAAGGAAUGGACUAAUUAUUUGUAUGUGCUUCAUAAAUUUGCAUUAUAAGCACAUUGUCAUGGCUUUAAAAUUCAUCAUAUUUCCAUGACACACCUCAACAUCACUUUGAAAGAUCAAGUGUACCAUCACUUUAUCUUCUUGUAUCAUGAUAAAGGAUUUAUAAACUUGUCAAAUUAUUAGGUUGACAACAUUCACAAGUCUAAUGACCUUUCAUACAAUUUUGAUAAUAAAAAUUGUCUUCACAUUUUGAAGGACUAUUUGAAGAACUCAUAGUGUUCUUCCUUUUAUCAUUACUACAAUGAUAACUACUAUAAUUUUGUCCCUCCACGCCCUUAUUCAUAUCAUUAAUUAUUUGUCAUCUUUCAGACUAAUCAUUCACUCCUACCAUAUUCAUAUGAUUGGAUGGAGCAAGUCAACAGACAGAUUUCAGAGUUAUCACAUGUUGCUACCACAUUCUUUUCAAGGAAUGGAGCAAAUUUAAUAUGAUGAAUUUCAAGACAUUUCAUCAAAAAUAUAUUAUUUUUCUUAGUUAUCAUUUUAUCAUCGCUAUGGUGCAUUGACUCAAACUCAAUGUCUUACCCAUAUAAGGCGUGUUACGCCAUAAUUCUAUGGGACUUGAACCAAAUCACGGUGCAUCAAAACUCUAAUUGAUGUCUUACAUCUUAUCCUCAAAUAUUUUUCAUUACGGUGCAUCCGGACUUUAACAUGAUGUCUUACCCUUUUGGUGCAAUGAAACUUGAAUCCGUCGUCUUACCCUUAACCAACGGUAUAAUAACGAAGUACAACAUGAUUUAUUCUUUGAGUCUUUCACAACAAUCAAAAUAAUAUUCAAACUCAUGCUAUUAAAAUUUUAUACCUUCUUCUAUUUAAGAAGUUUUGUAUAGCAUGUCAUAUUCAACCAAUAGUAGUAUAUGUCUUCGGUUCCUGAUAAUUGUUAGUGACUGAAUACUAUUUUAUUCUAAAUCAUAAAAUAUUUUAGAAAAUACAUACUUGAUUUUAUGCAUAUAAUACUUUGAUAUUCAUAACGAGAUCAACCAAAAUAUAAGCUAAAGAAAAACACGAACUCACUCUCAAUUAGACAGAGACUCGUGCUGAUAACGUGCUAUAAAAUUAAGCUCAUAAAAAUAUAAUCAUAAAGAAAAUAAGACAAGAGAAGUAGGAUUUUUCUUCUUAUUCAAUUGUGUACUUCAAAAGGUGAGUGAUGUCUCUAUUUAUAGUGUUGAGAUAUCACUCCCAAAGAUCACGAAAUUAAUAGAUACAUCACCUUGGAAAUAUACAUACAUGAAUACAAAUAAUUCAUGAAUAUCCGAUGGACAAUCCACUUAAUUAGUUCAAUGGAUUUGUAGCAAAAUGCAUAUAAUUAAUUAAAGGAGGCAAAUUUUAAAACGAAGCAAACUCUUGGUUAUAAAAGCGAGUGUCACAGCACUAGUUUAUAUAUAGUACCAACCUUCUCUUCCUUGUAACUUACCUUUUAGCAAUGGCGGAAAUAGUACAUGAUUUUUUCCCAUUGAUGAGAGUUUACAAAGAUGGUCGAAUCGAGAGGCUGGCCGGCGAAGGUUUUGUCCCACCUGAAUCUGAUCCUGAAACCGGAGUACAAAUCAAGGACGUUCAAAUUGAUCCACAAAUUAACCUAUCAGCAAGACUUUACCUGCCCAAAAAUGUCGACCCGGUUCAGAAAAUUCCCCUUUUCGUCUACUUUCACGGCGGCGGCUUUGUUAUCGAAUCUGCUUUUUCUCCUACCUAUCACAAAUAUCUUAGCCUGGUAGCAGCUGAAGCAAAAGUCGCGAUCGUCUCUGUUAACUACAGGUUAGCUCCUGAGUACCCUUUACCCAUAGCUUAUGAAGAUUCAUGGCUAGCUCUCAAAUGGGUCACUUCACAUGCCAAUGGUGAUGGUCGUGAACCAUGGCUAAAAGACUAUGCCGAUUUCAAUCGUGUCUUUUUAGGCGGAGAUAGCGCGGGUGGUAACAUCGCACACCAUAUAGGAAUUCGAUUAGGGUUGGAAAAGUUUGAGGGUGUGAAAAUUGAUGGGAUUUUCCUUGCGUGUCCAUAUUUCUGGGGAAAGGAUCGUAUUGAGGGUGAGGGAGAAAACUUGCUUGCCAAGGAUUUCGUUGAGGACCUUGUGUUGAUUGGUAAUCCCAAUAGCACGGGGUUAGAUAAGGAUCCUAUUGACUUAGGUUCCAAGGAUCUCUUUGAGAAGCUAUGGUUGUUUGUGAAUCCCACCAGCUCUGGAUUAGAUGAUCCGUUGAUUAACCCGGAAAAGGAUCCGAAAUUGUCUGGGUUAGGGUGUGAUAAAUUAGUUGUGUAUGUGGCCGGAAAAGAUCCGUUGAGAUUCAGGGGAUUUUACUACAAGGAGGUGUUGGAGAAGAGUGGGUGGCCGGGGACGGUGGAGGUUGUGGAAGUUAAAGGCAAGGGACAUGUGUUUCACCUCUUUGUUCCUGAAGCUGAAGAAGCCAUAGCCAUGUUGAAAAAAUUGGCCUCUUUCCUUAAUCAGUCAUAGGACCCAGUCAUUUAUAAUCUUGUUUGUCAUGGAAAUUCAACUAUAUAAUAAGGCAUCAUGUGCUUAGCAAAUGAAUUAAGUACUAUUUUUAAUUAGACGUAAUUGUGUUUUUGUUGCUUAAAACCUUAAAAGUGAUUAAUAAAAUAUCUUAAAAGUCUUGUGAAAGAAGUCUUCAUUACUAACAGGGACGUGCAUAAUUGUGAUCGCUAUUGUGCAUAAUUAUUAAGUUACACAAUAAUAAUAACUUUAUUCUGCCUCGUUUAAUAUUUUUUCAAACAUUUGC